GAACCGUUGGAGCAAGAGGAGGAGUUUCUGGGCGGUGAGUGUUUAAAUCGGGCGGGGGGCUUUACUACACAGAGGCCCGGGAGCCGUUGGAGCAAGAGGAGGGGUCGUCGAGUGGUG